rnacentral:rRNA from 1 species
GCUGCUUUCUGGAACGAUACUGACGCUAAGGCGCGAAAGCUAGGGGAGCGAACGGGAUUAGAUACCCCGGUAGUCCUAGCCGUAAACGAUGGACACUAGGUGUUGGGAGCAUCGACCCUCCCAGUGCUGUUCUGCUAACGCGUUAAGUGUCCCGCCUGGGGAGUACGGCCGCAAGGUUGAAACUCAAAGGAAUUGACGGGGGCCCGCACAAGCGGUGGAGCAUGCGGGUUAAUAGGAUGAUACGCCAAGAACCUUACCAGGGCUUGACAUGGCUCGGACAGCCUGUGAAAGCAGGUCUCCUGGCAACAGGUCGAGUCACAGAUGGUGCAUGGUUGUCGUCAGCUCGUGCCGUGAGGUGUUGGGUUAAGAACCGCAACGAGCGCAACCCUCGCCAGAUGUUGCCAUCGGGUAAUGCCGGGCACUCUUCUGGGACUGCCUGAGUAAUCAGGAGGAAGGAGAGGACGACGUCAAAUCUGCAUGCCUCUUACGCCCUGGGCUGCACGCGUGCUACAAUGGCGGGUACAAGGGGUUGCUAAGCCGCGAGGUGGAGCCAAUCCCCCAAAACCCGUCCCAGUUGGGAUCGGAUGUCUGCAACUCGACUCCGUGAACGCGGAAUCGCUAGUAACCGUGGAUCAGCAACGCCACGGUGAAUACGUUCCCGGGCCUUGUACACACCGCCCGUCAAGUCACGAAAGCUGGCAGCGCCCGAAGUCCACUGCGGUGGCCGAAGGUGAGGCCAGUGGUUGGGACUAAGUCGUAACAAGGUAACCGUA